rnacentral:tRNA from 1 species
GAGGGUAUAGCUCAGUGGCAGAGUGUGUGCUUAGCAUGCACAAGGUCAUGGGUUCAAUCUCCAGUACCUCCA